AUGGCGCCGACCUCCAAGAUGGCGCUGGGCAUCAAGCGCGCGUCGCGGUCGCACACCUACCACCGCCGCGGGCUGUGGGCCAUCAAGGCCAAGCACGGCGGAGCCUUCCCCAAGGCCGAGAAGCCAGCCGCCGUCGCCGAGCCCAAGUUCUACCCCGCCGACGACGUCAAGCCCCGCACCGCCAGCACCCGCAAGCCUAAGCCCACCAAGCUCAGGUCGACCAUCACGCCCGGUACGGUGCUGAUCCUGCUCGCUGGGAGGUACAUGGGGAAGCGCGUGGUGUUCCUCAAGCAGCUCAAGUCUGGCCUGCUCCUCAUCUCUGGGCCUUUCAAGAUCAAUGGUGUGCCAGUUCGCCGGGUGAACCAGGCUUAUGUCAUUGCCACAUCCACAAAGGUUGACAUCUCUGGUGUUAACGUGGAGAAGUUUGAUGACAAGUACUUCGCCAGGGACAAGAAGACCAGGGCAAAGAAGACUGAAGGGGAGCUGUUUGAGACUGAGAAGGAGACCACCAAGAAUCUGCCAGAAUUUAAAAAAGAUGAUCAGAAGGCCAUCGAUGCUGAGUUGAUCAAAGCUAUUGAGGCUGUCCCUGACCUUAAGAACUAUCUUGGUGCUCGGUUCUCUCUCAGGGAUGGUGACAAGCCCCAUGAGAUGACCUUCUAA
rnacentral:rRNA from 1 species